UCCUGGCGUCAGGAUGAACGCUGGCGGCGUGCUUAACACAUGCAAGUCGAACGAAGCAUAAGAGACAGAAUACUACGGUAGGAAGAUUUUUAUGACUGAGUGGCGGACGGGUGAGUAACGCGUGGGUAACCUGCCUCAUACAGGGGGAUAACAGUUAGAAAUGGCUGCUAAUACCGCAUAAGCGCACAGUACUGCAUGGUACAGUGUGAAAAACUCUGGUGGUAUGAGAUGGACCCGCGUCUGAUUAGCUAGUUGGUGAGGUAAGGGGCUCACCAAGGCAACGAUCAGUAGCCGACCUGAGAGGGUGAACGGCCACAUUGGGACUGAGACACGGCCCAAACUCCUACGGGAGGCAGCAGUGGGGAAUAUUGCACAAUGGGGGGGAACCCUGAUGCAGCGACGCCGCGUGAAGGAAGAAGUAUUUCGGUAUGUAAACUUCUAUCAGCAGGGAAGAAAAUGACGGUACCUGACUAAGAAGCCCCGGCUAACUACGUG
rnacentral:rRNA from 1 species